UACGGAGGGUGCAAGCGUUGUCCGGAAUUAUUGGGCGUAAAGCGCACGCAGGCGGUCUGUCAAGUCGGAUGUGAAAUCCCCGGGCUCAACCUGGGAACUGCAUUCGAAACUGGCAGGCUAGAGUCUUGUAGAGGGGGGUAGAAUUCCAGGUGUAGCGGUGAAAUGCGUAGAGAUCUGGAGGAAUACCGGUGGCGAAGGCGGCCCCCUGGACAAAGACUGACGCUCAGACACGACAGCAUGGGGAGCGAACGGG
rnacentral:rRNA from 1 species